GACGAACGCUGGCGGCGUGCUUAACACAUGCAAGUCGAACGGAAAGGCCCUGCUUUUGUGGGUUGCUCGAGUGGCGAACGGGUGAGUAACACGUGAGUAACCUGCCCUUGACUUUGUGAUAACUUCAGGAAACUGGGGCUCAUACCGGAUAGGAGCUCCUGCUGCAUGGUGGGGGUUGGAAAGUUUCGGCGGUUUGGGAUGGACUCGCGGCUUAUCAGCUUGUUGGUGGGGUAGUGGCUUACCAAGGCUUUGACGGGUAGCCGGCCUGGGAGGGUGACCGGCCACAUGGGGACUGAGAGACGGCGCAGACGCGUACGGGACGCAGCAGUCGGGAAUAUUGCACAAUGGGCGGAAGUCUGAGGCAGCAAUGUCGCGUGCGGGAUGACGGGCUUCGGGUUGUAAACCGAUGUCGCCGGUGACGAAGCGGGAGUGACGGUAAUGGGUAAAGAAGCACCGGCUAACUACGUG
rnacentral:rRNA from 1 species